rnacentral:rRNA from 1 species
UACGGAGGGUGCAAACGUUGCUCGGAAUCAUUGGGCGUAAAGCGCACGUAGGCGGCCUGUUAAGUCGGAUGUGAAAUCCCCGGGCUUAACCUGGGAACUGCAUUCGGGACUGCAUUGCUAGAGUAUGGGAGAGGGAAGUGGAAUUUCAGGUGUAGCGGUGAAAUGCGUAGAUAUCUGAAGGAACAUCAGUGGCGAAAGCGACUUCCUGGACCAAUACUGACGCUCAUGUGCGAAAGCGUGGGGAGCAAACAGG